rnacentral:lncRNA from 1 species
CCUCCAGCACUGCCUGCCACUGUCCUUGUCUUCGGCGUGAGACAGACAGCAGUAUGCGACCUUCCAGCUGGGACAACUUCACGGUUUGCAGGCGGCUCCCUUGAAGUCUGUUGUUCCUAACUGGCUAGAAGCACUGGUUAACUGCAAGCCUUUUUCUUCCUGAGCAGAGGAGCUGCGGAAUCAGAUGAAUAGCGUUCCUCAGUCUUUUACUGUGAAAAGAUAGGAUUCACCUGCUACAGGGCCAGUUUCCCUCCAGAAAGGCUAUGUCUGCCAAGACUUGGCCACACCAAGUCCAAGAAUGGUGCUGUGGCUUGUAGGUGUGACGUACUGCUUUGUCCAAAAUCCUCUGGCCAGUAGUAGCAUCAGCUUUAAGCUACCUGUUCUUCCUGAAUUAUCACCAGGCCUACUUAGCUGCUGCUUCUACUGUAAGAGACUUCAGCACUUUGGAGCCUUUCUGCAGUUUGUAGAAGUGCAAGCUGCAGUUGGUAAAGUAAAUCUCCAGGAAGACCCCCUGUGGAUUUUGUCACUCAAGGAAGGAGGCUGGCAUUAUUCCUUGACAGCUAGCUGCAGCAAAGGGCCUUUCUUGGAAGAUGACUGCUACAAAAGCAAGGAAGUAUCCAGACAGAAAGCAGAACAAAAAAGACUUCUCUGUCCUAGCCCUUUUUUAAUUAAUUCUCUGCAAAUGAACUCUAUCAGCACUAUCUGUCUCUCUAUCACUCUUUCUCUGUCCUUUUUGAAUAUAAUCAACGUUGCUUUUAUUGGUGUUGCAUGUGGAAAAUCCUUGAUAAAUGGGUACUGAAUAUAAAUGAAUGGCUACAGCUUGUCCCAUGAAGGCUUGUUUAGCAGGCUGUUUUUGUUUUCUAGCCUUUGAGCUAAUUUCACUGAAUGUUAUCUGUCCAGGAGACAACUGUUAUACCUUGAAUGAAGUACAGCUUUUUAAAAUCCCCUUCUUGGAGCUUAACAGCUCUUUUUUUGGAUACUAGCAGCUGGAAGGGAGUCAGCUAUUUGGUAUAUUUUGAAUUAAAAGAGGAAGGAAAGCGUGGCAUAAG